UAUUGCACUCGCCCCGGCCUGA
rnacentral:miRNA from 3 species